AGUGCUGGUCAGACUGGAGCCUUGGGCCUUCAGUCGGUAAAAGUGCCUCCUUCCAGGCGCUCUCUGAUGCUUUAAGGGUCUCAGAGGGCCCUGGCAGGAAGGUCAGACCUCAAGUAUUUCACUAUUCCCCAGCUUCAGCCCCCCCUCCCCCAGUGCCUCUCACAGUGGGAAUGGGGUCAAUGCUUAGCUGGUCACAACGUGCUGAGUCUGUGAGGUGGGGUGAAGGAAACGUGCCCAGCCGGCUCCUGGGGUCAUGGUCGGCUAGUGAUGGAAUGGCUCAGCCAGGGGACAGGCCACCACAAAACACACUCCCCACUCUCCAGCCAGCUGAGGCACCCAAGCGUGGCCCGAGAACAUUCCCUUUCUCAUUUCCAAAACCUGUGGGAAAACUCUCCAGUGGGCCACGUGGCCUUUAGAGGCUAAAUUAAGUGCUUUGCCUUCUACCCUGGGCCUCACCCCACAGGACUCUCCCUCCCCAAGACAAUGAGAGCAGAUUGUCACUUGUGCCCUCCAGGUUUCGACCCCCUACCCAACAUCUGGGCCAAUCCCCUCGAUCCUGUGUGAGAGGCCUGCACAUCUCCCCUCACCUGGACAGCAGCAGCGGGGGAGGGGGGGCGGAGGGGGGCACAGACCACCCAGAAGCCUUCCUCAUCACCCGCUGGGACAGCCCCUGGGGAGAAGCCUCCCCCACCACUCCCACUAUGGCCACCAGGACCGUGGUGGGGAAAGGUGGGGAAAAUCACCAGGAUGCAAGGAAGUCAAUGAUUUGAACGAACGGAAUUUCUUUGUCCUUUGUAAAAGUCAACACAUGAUCUGUUACUGAUUGGGAUGUGAAAUAAAACUAAAAAUAACAGCACACCGAGUCUCCUGCAAGGCUCAGCUCACCUUU
rnacentral:lncRNA from 1 species